rnacentral:lncRNA from 1 species
GAAGGAUAUUAGGCAAGCAUGGUGGCCUGGGAUGCAGUUACAGCCCCCUGGCUCAUUGUCCAAAGGAAAUGGAUCUCUCCCGUGGACAGAGAGGUGGAAACUGAGUGAGUGAGUUGUGUGGUUGACAUCAUCAGGCUGAGCAUUGGAUUACAACAAAUGGGGACUUACUUGGCCCGAGACAUGGGAAACACCCACUAAAACCUCAAAGUGCUUUUCAUUUAGGAGACACGGGGAAGAGACAGAGAGGAGGGUAAAGUGAGAAUCCUGCCUGCACCACAGGUCUGGACUGCUAACCUUGAAUCCUGGUUUCUUAAAUUCUGCCUCCGCUUCUGACUGAGGACCACUGGAUUUUGAGGAAACUUUGGUCUUAAUUCCCGUACUGAUUAGUCAACAGUGGAAAAUCUGAAGAGAUGCAAGCAGGAAAAAGAAAUUAAACCAGGUAGGUAGUGGCACUGUUCAUACUCUACUGCCAGAGCAGCACACAUUUUUGCCUGAAUAUCUUUAUUUCUGGUUGAAGGAAGAAAAUACGUAAGUUCCAAACUAAAUUAGUGGGAGAUUUUGACCUUAUGAAGAAAAGGCAGGAUGGCUCUUUUCAGAAGUUAUAUACAUAACAGCAUGCUGCAAUUUCA